AGAGAGCAGCACUUGCUGCUGUGCAGCGUGGAGGAAAAAGGGGACAGAAACUGCACAUUUGCAGCGCAGUUAGAAGAAUAAAACAGAAACUGCACCUUUGCAGCCUUGGCAGCGUGUGAAACAGAGGAAGAAGGCUGCUUGGGGCAGCUGAGAAAAGAAGGAAAAAAAUAAAAGAAAGGGGCUUCUUGUGCAGCUUUGAAACCGAGAAAAGGUUGCCCUUGCAACCUCGGCACAGAAAAAGAAGCGAGAGCACGGACAGAAACAGAAGCAGCAAGCUUCUCCUCUUUCGGUUUAAACUUUCCAACUUAUAUUUUACUUUUGGUUAAAUGUUAUAAUAAUGUGUAACUAAAUUCAUUUUGGCUAGAGGUUAAUUCAAAGCCAUGAAUAUAUUUGUAAUAUGAAUUGAUUACCUUCAGUUGUGAUUUCUGAGUUGUGAUUUAAUUUGCUUAACUGCUUGAUUUAUAACUUAUUUUUGUAUGUCGAUUAAGGAUGCAUACUUAAUUUACAUGCAUGAAUUUGAUGCUAGAAUAUAAGUGAAUUUCACCUAAUCGUUAUGAACUUAUAUUCACAAGUAGUGAAGGUUGCUAGUCACAAUCACG
rnacentral:lncRNA from 1 species